AACCAUAGUUGGCUUAAAAGCAGCCACCA
rnacentral:piRNA from 1 species